UACGGAGGGAGCUAGCGUUGUUCGGAAUUACUGGGCGUAAAGCGCGCGUAGGCGGCUUUGUAAGUUAGAGGUGAAAGCCCGGAGCUCAACUCCGGAACUGCCUUUAAAACUGCAUCGCUUGAAUCCAGGAGAGGUGAGUGGAAUUCCGAGUGUAGAGGUGAAAUUCGUAGAUAUUCGGAAGAACACCAGUGGCGAAGGCGACACACUGGCUCACUACUGACGCUGAGGCGCGAAAGCGUGGGGAGCAAACAGG
rnacentral:rRNA from 1 species